GAUGAACGCUAGCGGCAGGCCUAAUACAUGCAAGCCGGACGGCAAGUUGAGUAGCAAUACUUGACCUAGAGUGGCGUAAGGGUGCGUAACACGUAUGCAAUCUGCCCACAGCCGGGAGAUAGCCCUCCGAAAGGAGGAUUAAUAUCCCAUAGGAAGAUGAGAUGGCAUCAUUUUAUUUUUAAACUACGGGGCUGUGGAUGAGCAUGCGGUUGAUUAGCUAGUUGGCGGGGUAAAGGCCCACCAAGGCGAUGAUCAAUAGGGGACCUGAGAGGGUGAUCCCCCACACUGGCACUGAGAUACGGGCCAGACUCCUACGGGAGGCAGCAGUAGGGAAUAUUGGACAAUGGGUGUAAGCCUGAUCCAGCCAUGCCGCGUGCAGGAAGAAGGCCUUCU
rnacentral:rRNA from 1 species